GGGACAACAGUUGGAAACGACUGCUAAUACCGCAUAAGCCCACGGAUUCGCAUGGAUCUGCGGGAAAAGGAUUUAUUCGCUCUAGGAUGGACUCGCGUCCAAUUAGCUAGUUGGUGAGGUAACGGCCCACCAAGGCGACGAUUGGUAGCCGGACUGAGAGGUUGAAUGGCCACAUUGGGACUGAGACACGGCCCAGACUCCUACGGGAGGCAGCAGUGGGGGAUAUUGCACAAUGGGGGAAACCCUGAUGCAGCGACGCCGCGUGGAGGAAGAAGGUUUUCGGAUUGUAAACUCCUGUCGUUAGGGACGAUAAUGACGGUACCUAACAAGAAAGCACCGGCUAACUACGUGCCAGCAGCCGCGGUAAAACGUAGGGUGCAAGCGUUGUCCGGAAUUACUGGGUGUAAAGGGAGCGCAGGCGGACCGGCAAGUUGGAAGUGAAAACUAUGGGCUCAACCCAUAAAUUGCUUUCAAAACUGCUGGCCUUGAGUAGUGCAGAGGUAGGUGGAAUUCCCGGUGUAGCGGUGGAAUGCGUAGAUAUCGGGAGGAACACCAGUGGCGAAGGCGACCUACUGGGCACCAACUGACGCUGAGGCUCGAAAGCAUGGGUAGCAAACAGGAUUAGAUACCCUGGUAGUCCAUGCCGUAAACGAUGAUUACUAGGUGUUGGAGGAUUGACCCCUUCAGUGCCGCAG
rnacentral:rRNA from 1 species